UCUUGUUUCAGUGAAACUGUCCAUCAGUUUCUGGAUGAGAAUCAACACUACCUGAGUCUGCUGACUUCUCUGCUGCAUAACACCACCCAGGAGAUGGAGCAGACGGAUCAGGACUGGAGCGGGACUUCCAUCCAGAGCAGCUGAAGCUGAACCCCAGAAGCCGUAGUAGAGACUGAUCAAAGAGCGCCACCGAUGUCAAGAGAUUAUGUCAUAAACAAGUGCCUUAUCAUCAGAGUAACAACCUAAAGCUUUGUGAUUCCAUACCGUCUUUAACAUCCAUGUGAAGCUGCAAGACAAUGUGUGAAGCAACCAGAUUUAGUAAGCUAUUCAUGUUCAACUUAAAUGUUUGUUAUUUAACUGUAAAAGCUAUUUCCAGCUGUAAGCAAGACUUCUUGUUGCUAUUUAUUGAAGGAAAACCCUGCUGCUGGUGAAGUAUGCAACGUGAAAUGUCAAUAAACGUUGUGAGUGUA